UAGUAAUGGUGGGAUUUUAACCGACAUUUUUGGGGCAUGAGCCCAAGAGCUUUGUUAGCUGACUUUACU
rnacentral:tRNA from 1 species